rnacentral:rRNA from 1 species
GCUUACGCAUGCAAGUCGAGCGGAAAGGCCUUUCGGGGUACUCGAGCGGCGAACGGGUGAGUAACACGUGGGUAACCUGCCUUCAGCUCUGGGAUAAGCCUGGGAAACUGGGUCUAAUACCGGAUACGACACGCGGCCGCAUGGUUGUGUGUGGAAAGUUUUUCGGCUGGAGAUGGACUCGCGGCCUAUCAGCUUGUUGGUGGGGUAGUGGCCUACCAAGGCGAUGACGGGUAGCCGGCCUGAGAGGGCGACCGGCCACACUGGGACUGAGACACGGCCCAGACUCCUACGGGAGGCAGCAGUGGGGAAUAUUGCGCAAUGGGCGAAAGCCUGACGCAGCAACGCCGCGUGAGGGAUGACGGCCUUCGGGUUGUAACCCUCUUUCGGCGCUGACGAAGCCUUCGGGUGACGGUAGGCGCAGAAGAAGCACCGGCUAACUGCGUGCCAGCAGCCGCGGUAAUACGUAGAGUGCGAGCGUUGUCCGGAAUUAUUGGGCGUAAAGGGCUCGUAGGCGGUUUGUUGCGUCUGCUGUGAAAGCCCGGGGCUUAACCCCGGGUCUGCAGUGGAUACGGGCAGGCUAGAGUCCGGCAGGGGAGACUGGAAUUCCUGGUGUAGCGGUGGAAUGCGCAGAUAUCAGGAGGAACACCGGUGGCGAAGGCGAGUCUCUGGGCCGGUACUGACGCUGAGGAGCGAAAGCGUGGGGAGCGAACAGGAUUAGAUACCCUGGUAGUCCACGCCGUAAACGUUGGGCGCUAGGUGUGGGUUCCCCUUCCCCGGGAUCCUUGC